CCUACGGGAGGCAGCAGUGGGGAAUAUUGCACAAUGGGGGAAACCCUGAUGCAGCGACGCCGCGUGAGCGAUGAAGUAUUUCGGUAUGGAAAGCUCUAUCAGCAGGGAAGAAAAUGACGGUACCUGACUAAGAAGCCCCGGCUAACUACGUGCCAGCAGCCGCGGUAAUACGGAGGGGGCAAGCGUUAUCCGGAUUUACUGGGUGUAAAGGGAGCGUAGACGGGGAUGCAAGCCAGAUGUGAAAGCCCGGGGCUCAACCCCUGGACUGCAUUUGGGACUGUAUGGCUGGAGUGUCGGAGAGGUAGGCGGAAUUCCUGGUGUAGCGGUGAAAUGCGUAGAUAUUAGGAGGAACACCAGUGGCGAAGGCGGCCUGCUGGACGAUGACUGACGUUGAGGCUCGAAAGCGUGGGGAGCAAACAGGAUUAGAUACCCUAGUAGUC
rnacentral:rRNA from 1 species